GAUGAACGCUGGCGGCGUGCCUAAUACAUGCAAGUCGAGCGAACGGACGAGAAGCUUGCUUCUCUGAUGUUAGCGGCGGACGGGUGAGUAACACGUGGAUAACCUACCUAUAAGACUGGGAUAACUUCGGGAAACCGUAGCUAAUACCGGAUAAUCUUUUGAACCGCAUGGUUCAAAAGUGAAAGACGGUCUUGCUGUCACUUAUAGAUGGAUCCGCGCUGCAUUAGCUAGUUGGUAAGGUAACGGCUUACCAAGGCAACGAUGCAUAGCCGACCUGAGAGGGUGAUCGGCCACAGUGGAACUGAGACGCGGUCCUGACUCCUACAGGAGGCAGCAGUAGGGACUCUUCCGCAAUGGGCGAAAGACUGACGGAGCAACGCCGGGUGAGUGAUGAAGGUCUUCGGAUCGUAAAACUCUGUUAUUAGGGAAGAACAUAUGUGUAAGUAACUGUGCACAUCUUGACGGUACCUAAUCAGAAAGCCACGGCUAACUACGUG
rnacentral:rRNA from 1 species